GUAUGUGGCAAAUCUUGGGGACUCCAGGGCAGUGCUUGGCAGGAGAGCAGAGACAGGCCAGACGGGUGAUUCAGCAGUAGUAGUGGCAGAACGUUUGUCGAUAGAUCAUAAUGUUGGGGUUGAGGAGGUUAGGAAGGAGGUAGAGGCACUGCAUCCAGAUGAUUCUCAUGUUGUGGUCUACGUUCGAGGGGUUUGGAGAAUUAAGGGUAUAAUUCAGGUUUCUAGAUCAAUUGGUGAUGUCUAUCUGAAGAAACCUGAGUUUAAUAGAGAUCCUAUGUUCAUACAAUAUGGAUAUCCUAUUCCUUUAAAAAGAGCUGUAAU
rnacentral:misc_RNA from 1 species